rnacentral:tRNA from 1 species
AAAAAAUUAGUUAAAUUUAUAAUGAAGGGUUGUCAAUCCUUAGUUGCUUGUGAGAAAGUGUUUUUUA